rnacentral:rRNA from 1 species
CGAAAGAGAGCCGUAACACAGGUGCUGGCAUGGCUGUCGUCAGCUCGUGUCGUGAGAUGUGGGUUAAGUCCCGCAACGAGCGCAACCCUUGUCAUUAGUUGCUACAUUCAGUUGGGCACUCUAAUGAGACUGCCGGUGACAAACCGGAGGAAGGUGGGGAUGACGUCAAGUCCUCAUGGCCCUUAUAGGUGGGGCUACACACGUCAUACAAUGGAUGGUACAAAGGGUCGCCAACCCGCGAGGGGGAGCCAAUCCCAUAAAGCCAUUCGUAGUCCGGAUCGCAGUCUGCAACUCGACUGCGUGAAGUCGGAAUCGCUAGUAAUCGUGGAUCAGAAUGUCACGGUGAAUACGUUCCCGGGUCUU